rnacentral:rRNA from 1 species
GACGAACCGUGCGAACGUUAUUCGGCAUCACUGGGCUUAGAGCGCGUGUAGGCGGGAGGGCACGUCCGUUGCUGAAAUCCCCCGGCUCAACCGGGGAACGGGCGCGGAUACGACUCUCCUUGAGGGGCGUAGGGGGACCUGGAACUUCCGGUGGAGCGGUGAAAUGCGUUGAGAUCAGAAGGAACGCCCGUGGCGAAAGCGAGGUCCUGGACGCCUACUGACGCUGAGACGCGAAAGCCAGGGGAGCGAACGGG